rnacentral:rRNA from 1 species
AUUGAACGCUGGCGGCAUGCUUUACACAUGCAAGUCGAACGGCAGCACGGGGGCAACCCUGGUGGCGAGUGGCGAACGGGUGAGUAAUAUAUCGGAACGUACCCGGAAAUGGGGGAUAACGUAGCGAAAGUUACGCUAAUACCGCAUAUGCCCUAAGGGGGAAAGCGGGGGACUCGCAAGAACCUCGCGUUUUCGGAGCGGCCGAUAUCGGAUUAGCUAGUAGGUGAGGUAAAGGCUCACCUAGGCGACGAUCCGUAGCUGGUCUGAGAGGACGACCAGCCACACUGGAACUGAGACACGGUCCAGACUCCUACGGGAGGCAGCAGUGGGGAAUUUUGGACAAUGGGCGCAAGCCUGAUCCAGCCAUGCCGCGUGAGUGAAGAAGGCCUCGGUUGUAAG